rnacentral:rRNA from 1 species
AUUGAACGCUGGCGGCAUGCCUUACACAUGCAAGUCGAACGGCAGCACGGGAGCAAUCCUGGUGGCGAGUGGCGAACGGGUGAGUAAUAUAUCGGAACGUGCCCAGUCGUGGGGGAUAACGCAGCGAAAGCUGUGCUAAUACCGCAUACGAUCUAAGGAUGAAAGCGGGGGAUCGCAAGACCCCGCGCGAUUGGAGCGGCCGAUAUCAGAGUAGCUAGUUGGUGGGGUAAAGGCCCACCAAGGCGACGAUCUGUAGCUGGUCUGAGAGGACGACCAGCCACACUGGAACUGAGACACGGUCCAGACUCCUACGGGAGGCAGCAGUGGGGAAUUUUGGACAAUGGGCGCAAGCCUGAUCCAGCAAUGCCGCGUGCAGGAUGAAGGCCUUCGGGUUGUAAACUGCUUUUGUACGGAACGAAACGGCGAGCUCUAAUAAAGUUUGCUAAUGACGGUACCGUAAGAAUAAGCACCGGCUAACUACGUGCCAGCCGCCGCAGUAA